rnacentral:rRNA from 1 species
GGGGAAUAUUGGGCAAUGGGCGCAAGCCUGACCCAGCAACGCCGCGUGAGGGAAGAAGGUUUUCGGAUUGUAAACCUCUGUCGCAGAAGACGAAGGAAGUGACGGUAUUCUGUGAGGAAGCCCCGGCUAACUACGUGCCAGCAGCCGCGGUAAUACGUAGGGGGCGAGCGUUGUCCGGAAUUACUGGGCGUAAAGGGAGUGUAGGCGGUCUUUUAAGUUGGAUGUGAAAUCCCCGGGCUUAACUUGGGGGGUGCAUUCAAAACUGGGGGACUAGAGUACAGGAGAGGGAAGCGGAAUUCCUAGUGUAGCGGUGAAAUGCGUAGAUAUUAGGAGGAACACCGGUGGCGAAGGCGGCUUUCUGGACUGACACUGACGCUGAGGCUCGAAAGCGUGGGGAGCAAAC